ACAAGUAUGAAGAGAAUGUCGGGAGAGGAAGUGGUGGCUAUGAGUCAGCAUGAGUCAUCUCGUUCCAAUGAGAAUGAAGGCUGAGGUGUGCGCCUUUUUUUUUUUUCCUUCUUAGUCGUGUGUACAUCAUUGGGAAUGGAGGGAAAUAAAUGACUGGAUGGUCGCUGCUUUUUAAGUUUCAAAUUGACAUUCCAGACAAGCGGUGCCUGAGCCCGUGCCUGUCUUCAGAUCUUCACAGCACAGUUCCUGGGAAGGUGGAGCCACCAGCCUCUCCCUGACAAGCAAAGUGGAUCAGCAAAGGCUGCAGUCACCAGCAUCUUUUCCAACCUUAAUGAACUGUAUCCUCAAAAGAACACUAUCAGACUGGUAAGACAAGCAUUAUUGUCCCACUUCACAGAUGAAGAGCUUGGGGGCCCUGUGGAUGUGUAGGAGAGUCGGCCUUCCUUUUUAUAGGCCUUUUGCUGAGCUCAGAGGACAGAGCAGAAGACAAAGCCGAAUGCAGCCCUAAGCAGACACUAUCCCAGCCCAAGGAGCUAUGCAGACAGCUCCUGCCUAGAGGAGAAACAAUUCUCUCCUUCAGCCAGGCAUGUGGCACAGAGGUGAACAGGAAAUGCUUAGGGAGACAGUUCACAGAUAUAUAUGUACUUCACAGGGCACAAUUUAAUCCAUAAAUCAAUCAUGGAUCACCGCUAAAGAAAACAAAAUAUGCUGCCACUAAUUUGCCACCACCCUGUGAGCAUGAUUGGAUGAUGUUUAUUUUGAUUAGGAGAUUGCUCCAUUUAUAAAUCUUCAAUACAUCCUGUCCCCCUAAAACGGCAUCUGGGUCUUUUGAGGGUUAAAAAAAAAAAAAAGUGAAAUUGGAUGAGGGAUGAGAGCUGGACUUCUGUGUGUCCCGGGGUCCCUGGAUCCACAGCCUGGUGCCUAGCAUCAGUUAAGCCCACGCUGGGGUCGCAUCACAUCCCGCAAAGCCACGUGCUCUGUGAGGCCAACAGGAGCCCCGCCGGGUGGACCAGCUGGAAUCUCAGAGAGCGCCGACUCUGAAACUACCCGGCUCUGCAGAAGCACGCUGGGCCCAGGGGCUUCUAGACUGACAGCUCCAUUUAUCAACUACCUAUUGGUUUUAAAAAUUGGAGUGUCUUUUCCGCGUUGACUGAUUUUGGCUCUAAGAGAUGUCGCUGGUCAUUUCAGAGUGACUGAACCUCCCCUCUAACAGAUCCCGGGAAUUGUUUUCAGGAAAGGUAAAAGGCAGCCUUUUCUGUCACAACACAACGCUGAGCCGGCAGCCUGGCUCUGUCAGGAUCUGGGGCUCCCGCGCCCGAGAAGCCCAGCCUCGCCGGCGGCCAAGUUCACCGCGAGGCCCCGCGCUGCCUGCGCUGCGCUCCCGGACCCGCACCGACCGCAGCGCGCGCCGCCGGUGCUUCUCCCACCCCAGCCUGGAAGCUGCCUCCCUCCGCCUAUGCCUGCAGGAUAAGAAGCCCGAGGAGGCGGAGCAUGGAACUCGACAGUUAAAACAUUUAAGAGAGAAAACCUAGUGUCUUGCUGGCCUGAAAUCGAGUACGCAGCCCGGGGUGAUCAGGGUCUCCCGGCCCGGAUGUGUGAGACUUGCUUCCCCUGGGCAAUAGGCGAUACGAUGCUUUAGGAGGAAGGUGUCUCUCCCUCCUAAGCCCCGGAGGGGAGAACUUCCAAAGACAGAAAACCACAGGCUUCCUGGCACAGAGCUUUCCCUUUAUCAGCUAAAGCAGAAUCUUUUCUGGCCUUAACCUGGCCCCUUCCUCUAACUGCAGGCAGAGAGGCAGACAGAAAAGCACUUGCUGAAACACAAAGUUUUGUUCUGUCCUCAACGAACUGUCUAGAGCUGAUUGCUGAUAGUCGUGGUGCAUUAUGCCUUCCUGGUUUUCAUUUAAUUGGGCACCACGCUGCCUUUCAAGACGCCUUAAAGGAACCAACAACCAAAUCCAAGAGAGCUGGACAGACCAUUGAACACACAGUAGGCUGUGUCUCGUGGCUUUCGUUGUCUGGUGCCUCAAAGAAAACACCAGAAAGAUUGUUUCUAAGCUAGAGCCACCCCAGAUUGCUUAAAGUGCAAAGCUCACUGCUGUUGGGGGUACCCUUGUGAGACACUGGAAAGCUGGUUUUACCGUGGCCCUAUGAAGAGGAAGACUGAAAUUUAGACAGUAAUACCUUUACUAGGAUUGGAAAAGAUUUGGUUAAUGACAGCCCUGUCAUUUCUAAAACCCAUUAUCACUGUAUGAGAGAUUCCUUUGCGCUGCAUCCUCGACAGUGCUUCCUAAGGCUCUGCCGACUUCCAGUUCUGGAACAAGAUGGUUAAACUCAUUUUUCCCUGCUCUGCUCCUCUAAAUACAACUAAGUACCUUGGAAACUAUUCAGCAGACAAUGAUAAAGGGCUCUGAAAGCUAGAAGAAAAGGUGUACUUGCAAGAAACCUCAGGACUUGAGUAACAGCAACAUGAACAAUCCAUUUCACAGAUGAAGAAACAGACUCAGUGAGCACGUGAUCACUUCUCACAACUAAUGGAGCCAAGAUUCUGUCCUUAUGGCUCCAGAGACCUCUUUUUUUUCCCACUGUACCACAACACUCACCAGGACUGGAGUGCCACCUAUGACCUCAUUGCAUAAUGGAUGGCUUGUCCUCAAAUGGGCCCGGUCUUGGACGAGCCUGAGGAUGUCUACAAGUGGAAGAAAAGAAGCCACUGGAGCAGAAGGUGGGGAGGAUAAAAUUUGGAGCAAGAUUCUCAAGGAAGCAACAAGAUCCUAAGAUCUUGUUCUCACUAGAGAAUAAUUUCUACAUUAUGCCCAGGUUCUUCUGAGCUAUGAAGGGGCCCAGAUUUAAGGGCUAUUUUUGACACCCUAAAUGUGCUGAGACAAGUCAUUAAGGUGGUCCUGCCAGGACACAGCCAUCUAAAGCAGCAAUCUGCUUCUUGCCAGAAAAUCUCGUGCCUCUGCAGAGCCUUUUCCAGAAUGAACCACACCAUGCUGAGGAAAGGAGAAAGAGACUACCUACUGCAUUUCUGUCACUCGCUGAAAAGGACACUCUGUCAGAAAAUCUUCUAGCAAACUUCAAAGGGCAAAAUCACCCCUUGUUACUGAUAAAGCCCAGAGAGCUUCAGCAGCUAACAUUCCCUGGACAGGGCACAGCAAGGAUUUGAACCUAGGUCAGUCUGGCCAGAACACCCACAAGCUUUCCUUAACUCAGUGUGCUAUCUCCCCACGACUAGGUCACUACUGCUUUAUAAUCACCUUUGUAGCCACCAGUGGAUUUUGCUCAUCAGUAUUUUUCAGGCAAUUGAUACUUUAGAUAUUCAGCUGCAAGACGUAUGCAGUUUUCAUUGACAUCUUUUGGAGAAACUGACAAACCUGGACUUGACUUAAUGCCUUUGGAACCUUCCAAGAUGUUAUAUAACUCUAGAUAGAAGGCUGGGCCUCCAUGAUGUCAGGAAUGUUGCAUUCUUAUUUCCCCAUAGAUAAACCCAUUUGUCCACAAAGUCAAGGAGUCAGGCAGAGGCCCUUGCCAUGGGGCUUUUUAGGAUAAAGCAACAAGCCUGGACUUUGCUCUACAACAGGGUUUUGCAUAGGGAGUGGUAUGACCAGAUCCCUCAAGAAAGAAAGCUUAGAGACCAGGCCAGAGUCCACUGCAGUAGCCCAGUCAAGAGAGGAUGGUGACUUGGACUUGUAGUAGAGCCAGUUAGAAUGAAAGAAAUUGACACAUUCAGAAAUGGUUUUAGAGAUAGAGUCAAACUGGACCUGAUAAAGAACUAGAGAAGCGGAGUGAGGAUAAAGAGAAGAGCCAUGACUGACUCGGAAGAUUUUGUCUUGAAAAACUUGAGAACUCAAGACAGAGUGAAAUAAAAUCACAUGUGGGAAAAAUCU
rnacentral:lncRNA from 10 species